GUUUGGCGUUGCAGCUGUGUGGGCGCUGGUGCGUGCGAGUAGCGCUCGAAGAAACCCAAAGGCGUCGUGGGGCUGCCGUGUGCCCCAGAGAGCACUGCAGGCCGGGUAGGGGCUAAGGCUCCCCGCAGUCUUCUGUGUGUCGUCCAGUACGCAGUUGAAAUCGUUCUCCAACCUGGCCAGUCCUCCGAGGCCCUUCUCAGGCGACCAGACUCUGUUAACAGAGUCCAUUGCUAAAACUCCUCGUUAGUAUUUACCACUCCUCCAGUCUGUGUUUUGAAGCAGUGGUUUUCAACCACUGCCCGUUUUCAGAAGAAAUCAUCUCAAGCGUCCGUGUGCUGCUAGAAGCCGGGCCGGGAGGUCUUGGUGCCGGACUCCACCCUGCAGCCCUUCCCUUUCGCCACCGCCCUGUGCUUAGAGAAACCUUAGAGUGGAGCAAUGAGUCGCCCUUGACUGAGUAACUCUUCGGGGUCAACUUCUCCUUCCACGCCAAGGAAAGGAUUCCAGGGCGAUGUUUCUGGAAAUAGAGAUCUGACCAAGCCACUGCUCUGGUGAAAAUUCAGUGGGUCCCUAGCACCUAGUGCAGCGGCUCCUAGCCUGAGUAUUGCCGUCUUUCGGUGGGGAGGGGUUGGGUUUUUUUGUAGCAUCUGUUGAUCUGAUCUCCAACAUCCUCCACGUCAAUUCCCACUCCACCCACAUCCCUUAUCCUAUACGUAAGCUUUCCAGCCACGGUGCUGGCUUGGGUGGGGGUGCGUGCGGUGCUGACACCAAAAUGGAGGUCCCGUGUUUCUGAGAGUCUCUUUCAGAGCAAUGCAAACCUGAAACUACUCCUGCCAAGAAACGAUUGCAGCUCUUCCCGGAAAAGUUAAAGCCUUUGAGAAACAAAGCUGAGGUUGAAAGUAUUAGUCCAUUUUAUAGAUGAAGAAAUGGAGGCCCAGAGAGAUCACGUGACUUAGCCAAGUCCACCAACUAAUAUUGGGAAGCUCAGCAGGGUCCUGGGGGCCCACAGGAAUGUGAAUAAACACGCUUGGAAAGUCUGCAGAAUUUCCAGUCCUAGCCUCCUGCUGGUGUGAACCUGGGCUCCUGUGCCUGGGACCCUGGGAGGGCCUAGGGGAUGCCAAAUUCCAGGGUCCAGAAAGAGCUUGGGAUAAAAUGAACAUCCAAGGGGAGGGCUUUGACCUGGGCUGAGUCUGCCUGUGCCGAGUCUGCCUGUGCCAUCCAACUGGAGUCUCAAGUCCUGAGGCAGGACGUCCAGAUGCCCCAGUGCAGGGUCCUCCUGAUCAACACCUGCUCCCCUGUACUCAUUAGCAACCUCACCCACCCUACUCUCAAAGCACACUUGGCUCUCAUAUCCAGGAGCUCUGCAUCUGUAGAUUCAGCAACAGCAGAUGGAAAAUAUUCAGAAAAUAAAUUGGACAGUUAUAUUUCUAUUGAA
rnacentral:lncRNA from 1 species